CACCACUUGAAUAUGCGAAUCACUCACUAUCAACUGGGGAGGUUUGGCGAACGAGGAGAGCUUGCGAUGGAUAAAUACGGACGAGGAACGUUAUUAGGAAUCCAUAAUCAACAGGUCGGGCCUCCGACUCCAGGUUUGCUCAACAGGUCGGCCCUACCUGCGCAAACUUUGAUACCUCGACGACGUUCGUUUUGAUAAGUAAAUAAGGGUGAAAAAGAAAAUGAAACAUACCGACACCGAUGACCAGCUGGGUAUAAGUGCGACGCACCUUCAUUCCGGCCUGAAACGACUUUGGAAGGGAAUUUCGACAGAGGUGGUGCUACAUCGGUUGGAGAAAGCACACCCAACGGGUUUUGCGCAACGUCUGGUGGGAAAUCUAAGGCUUAACGGAAACGACACGUCUGUGCGGCGGACAGUGCGGUGUUAUGUGCGGAGAUCAGGAAACAAAGCUGAAAGGGUUUUGG